CUGUAGUCAACUGCACCCACUUCCUAGACCAUCCUUACACCUUCUUCCAUGUGGAAUGCUUUCCUCUUUCCUGAGUCAAGAUGUAAGACUAUGAGCAAGCCCAGGAACUCAGGGUGAGCAUGAGGAUGUGUCAUCAAUAAGAGGCAAAUGCAUGGAACUGGAAGAAAAUAUCCUGAGUGAGGCAACCCAGUCACAGAAAGACAAGCAUGGUACCACUUCUCCCAUAUUCUGGACCUACUAUCUCUCCUUCUGCACCACAGAAAACCUAAAACUCUUGAGCUGAAAAGCAUAUUAACUGAAGUGAAAAUUUCACUUAAUAGCAAAUUGGAGAUGACAGGAUGGUGGCUUAGUGGAACUGAAGGCAGCUAGAUGGGAAGAGUGAAAGAGAAGGCAGAAGCAUCAUCAGAGGCGGCUGUGAAGUGAUGGAGCCUAAAUGCUCGUGAUCUCUGAGGUGGAAAGGCCCUGUGCUGAAGCCCUUUGGUGCUGUGAUGUUUCUGAAGGUUUAAAACCAUCUGUAUACCUUAAAACACACUUUAGAGUGUACUAAUGAACAGGGUCGCCAUUCUGUCAUCCCUUCUCCUUCCUGGCUGCAAAUCUUCUCUCUCUGCUGUCAAUGAGAAUGAAAUCUCCCCAAAAGAAACAGCUUUCUUUUCUCUAAAUAAAACAAACCAAAACCAAACACAGAAAGGCUAUUUGGAAAGCAGACCAAAAAGCAGCAGGGGAGAAAGGUGAGAGGUGACCUUAGGUCUACUCAAGCUUGUAUUCCCUCUGGUUUAUAAAUGAGUGAUUGUUUCUAUCAUUGCAUAUCUUUGUAACCACUGAAUCCAGUUCACAUCUGAGACUAUUUGAUGCAUCCAUUUUUUCUUAACAUUUAAUAUAAGCUCUUAGUAUAUA